CCUGGGGAUAGUCGGCGGCGUCUACGCCCGCGUCAUCGAGGGGUGCGAGCUGCCCGUUCGAGGCGUAGAGCGGAAAGUUCGGGCCGUUCAUCCAGAA
rnacentral:tRNA from 1 species